GUAUUUUUUUCCGCUUUCUCUAAAAUUUCGAACCCUAGCUAAUAACGAUCGACUCUCACAGUUAUACUUCAGCAGCUCGAACCUUGUCGGCAAACCUCCUUCUCCAAGCUGACCUGCAUCGAGUCCCGACCUCCUUCUCCAAGCUGACCUGCGUUGAGUCCCGACCUCCUUCUCCAACCUAAUCCGACUGGAGCCGCCUCCAACCUGACCCCGAGUCCCCGACCUCGCUCUCUGACCCCGAGUUCCCCUGCCUCACUCUCUGACCCUGAGUCCCCGAUCUCGUUCUCCAGACCUCGAGCUUGAGAUCCGAUCUGACCUCGAGUUUAUUAGCCGACCUGAGUUUGUCAUUCUCCAACGUCUAGUCUCAGGAAGAUCGUAGAUUGAAGGUUUUCAAGAAGGAGUGGUUUGAAGGCAAGGACUGUCUUGACAUUGGCUGCUAUUCUGGGGUCAUCACUAUACAAAUCGUGGUUUGAUGCUGUUCUGCAUCUACCUGGGAGGAGUACUGCUGUCGUCUUUGAGUUUUGGAUAAUAGGAUUUUGAAUAGAGACAAGCAGAGAGGAUAUUUAGUUUUUGGGGUAAGUUGAGGAUUUUGGUGUUGUUUAUUUUGAUGUUUACGUUAUCUCAUCACAUGCACACACCUUGAUGGAAGUAAACAUAAAGGGUAAUUACUAAUUUGAAUGUUGGCUUCUGCUCUAUUCAUUGUUCUUUUAGUGGUCAAUAACAAUCAGUUAGGAACAUUUGGUUUUGUUAUGAACCUUGAUGUUGGAUAUGAACAGAAAGAAAGAAGAAGAAAAGCUAUGUCUGGGAAAUAGAUACAUUUCAGUUUUCAAACACUGCCAUUCCAUGACUUGA